AGAGGCAGACCUAAUGUCAAGAACAUCCCGUCUGACAUUAAGAAAAGAUCAACUUCUGAGGAGAAGUUCAACCAUGGGAAGGGAAUCCAGUGUCAUGGCUGUGAAGGGUAUGGACACGUCAGAGCUGAAUGCCCUACUUACCUCAAAUUGCAAAGUAAGGGGCUAGCUAUCACAUGGUCUGAAGGAGAUUCUGAAAGUGAGUCUGAAGGAGAAUCUGCCAAACAUGUCACUGCACUAACCAGUGUGUGUGUCUCUGAAGAUGAC
rnacentral:lncRNA from 1 species